rnacentral:lncRNA from 1 species
GGGAUAGGGAGAUAAUCCACGUGGGUCAGAUUUAAUCAAAGGAGCUCUUUAAAAGCCGAACUUUUUCGCUGGCUGGUCACAGAAGAUGAAGUCAGAGAUACAAAGCAUGAGAAAUAUUUGACUUGCUGUUUCUAAAUUGAAGAUAAAGAAGGCUGCAUGGCAAGGAACGUGGGCAGCCUGUGGGAGCUAAGAAUGGUCCUGGUUGAUAGCAAGUAAGGAAACAGGACUUCAGGCCUACAACAGCAAAGAAGAUCAAUUCUUCCUACUCAAGAAUGAAUUUUUUCUCAGAUCCCCGACACGAGAGCUCAGCAUGGCUUACACCGUGAUUUCAGCCAGCCUUGUGAUAUUCUGAGUAGAGAACUUGGCCAUUCUGUGCUGGACUUCUGACCUACAGAACUAGUCCAUCAGGAUCAGCUAUUCCUUCAUGUCUUACUUCCACGUUACCAUCAUUUCAUCUGAACUACUGAAAUAGUCACUACAAAGGCUUCCUGGACCUAAUUCCAAUGUAUGUGUGUGUGGAGGCUUCCCCACACCAACAAGCAGUUCUUGGACACCAACAGAGUGUCAGAAAACUCAAUUCUGAUACUAUCUACCUGAGGUAGAAUCAGAUUCCACAGCUUGGUGGUAGACAGCUGAAGCCUUACUGGCCUGAGGCAUCAGAGGACAGAAUCUGAAGCUGGAAGAGCAGCUAAAAUUUAAGAGAAGAACUCCCAAAAGCAACAUGAUCCUGGAGAGGGCACAGUAGAGGGCAUUGAGGAUAACAAUGGCGGUUCCUUCUCACAAAGAUGCAGACAUGCAUAUUACUAGCCAUAGUGUGAUAUUGAAACGUACUGCAAUAGAACUGGAACGACGGCCCUUAGCUCACUGGUAUUUAUUAAAGCAGAGGAUUUGAAUUAAAGGUAUUCUGGGAUGACAUGAAAUUUAUCCAUCAUAGAAAGGGGAACUUUGUAGUUGUGUGAAUGUUGUUUCAUCACCUAUCAGCCAGAAAGAAAAGAAAUCUUAAAGGAUAAACAUAGAAGUAUAUUAAACUUUCCUUGGUAUCAACUGAACUUUUCCCAUCAGAAGAAGUUCUCUGAGCAGGUGGAGAAAAGACACUGAACAAACUGGAAGCUGUUAAAAAGAGCACUGCUGAAAAACACGUCACAAAUGACUAACAAAUUGUAAAUGAAAAUUGGGUGACUUUCAGGUGGGAGCUGCUAACAGGCUCCGAGGCAGCAUUUGACCUCUUUUAAUGGAAGUUUUAAGAGAGGACUGGAGGUGAUGAAGGGUCAUUCAAAUGAUGUCGGUGGCUCCUGAGUGGUACUCCUGGUGGGCUGCGCCAAUUGUGCUGAAGGAUGGAUGGAGAAGGCACAUCAAUCAGCAGGGCAGAAGCCAACUCCCGAGCCAGUCUCUUUCUGUAGCAGUUCAGAAACUGCACAAAGUACAGCAAGUCAGAUCAUUUAUGUAACUUCUGUUUUUAUUAGGAUGUAAUUACAAGAUCUUACAUUUGCUUAGUGCAUUAUGUUUUAAAGCCCAUUUGCCACAUUAAUCCAUUAAGAAUAUCAAAAUAAAAUAUGUUUUCAUCUUAAAAUGUGUUUCUAUGCUUGAUGUGAUAAAAAAUUCCCUUACAAGUCACCUGGGAUCAGAGCAAUAAUAGAAACCGAUCUUUUACAAAUAUAGUUUGCUCUUAUGUAUAGGCAAAGUUGGAGAGAAUUAAAGCCAUUAAGAUUGUGUAUGAAAGAUACAUUAGAGUUACAUUUAUAUCAUUGAUUACACUGCUCCUCAAUUAUAUAGUUUGGAAAAAAACAUAAGCAAUUAAUCAUGGUAGAUUACACUCAUUUUGUAUUUGGCCAGCAGUAGCGAGUAGUUAUUAAGAAGUCUGAGUUCCAAUUGUUUCUCUAAAUAAUACUUUGUAAUAUCUUUUGCUUAUGUGAUUUCUGUAAUACCCUUUGGUAAAUGUGAUUAUUUAUACCUAGAAAAGAUUUUAAAAUAGCUCUCAUUUCCUUUAUAUAAUUAUGGUUUUAAAUAGAUUUUUUAAUAUAUUUAUUUUCUUAAUAUGAUGCCAUUACCAGCCCUGCCAUUUGUCUUAUUAAUCUGGAUAUGCAUAAUUAUAAACCACACCAAUUAUAACCGCUAUACAUGCAUUGUCAACUGGUAAACAUUUAGUAGUAAAAACAGGAUUAAAAUAUUUAGAUAACAUUUACAUCCCUAGUUUAUGUGAAACAAUAACAAAUAAGAGCUGGAAAUUAUUAAAAUUUUUAUUUUACAGGAAAGUACUAGUUAUAUAUAGAUAAUACAAUUCAGUAUUGAUAAACAGAAAAUCUUCUAUCAGCAGCUUAAUUCCUCAGAU